AACUGGGAACCAGGCAAACAAUACACUACUGGAAGAGAAUUAGAACAUCUGCCUAGAGUCCCUUAGUUAAUGAAAAAGGUCCCAAAAUGUGGGGAGCAGGAGCCCAAUCAGUUCUUCUUGAGUCGUUAAAAUACUACUGGCUAAAGUACUGCUGUGAUAAAGUGCUGUGGAGUGGGGUGACUAAGAGAAGGACGAACACACAUCAAAGGAACAAGCAUAACCUGGAUUCUGUAGCUGUAUAAAAUCCCACCUCUCCUGUGAUAUGACUCAUUGCUGGCAAAGAUAAAUGGGCACGGCGCCUCCUGUCUGCUGUUAACAACCAUCUACCCAUCUG